rnacentral:rRNA from 1 species
ACACUAAACAAUAUAAAAUUCAUAUUUUAUUUAUUAUUUUAUUUAUUACUUUUAAGUCCAUCUUUCGUUAUUAUUUCAUUGUUGCUUCCGAAAAAAAUAGUUACUGUAACUCACCUUAUUUCUUACUAAUAGACUGCACCUUGAUUUAUCUUAAAACAGAUUGAGUUUUAUUGAUUUUCCUUAAGGAAAUCAUUAAGACAACGGUAUACAAAUUAUUAUAGUAAGUUAAAUUUACUUGGUGGUUAUCAAUUAUAUGGUAAGUUCCCCUAAGUGUUAGUUUAGCCGCCAUAAUUUUUAAGUUUAGACUGUAUAGUUUUACUCCUUAUUAAAUAGUUUGUAAGCCCAAAAUAAUAGGGUCUCUAAUCCUAGUUUUAGGUGUGGGUUUCAUUAAAAAUUAUUUUGAGGUUUAUAUAUUAUAUAUAAUAUUUCACCAUUUAAAAUAUAAUUUAAAAUAAUUAAUCUAUUAAUAUUAUUAUAAGCUAACAUAUUAGGUUUGACCGCGGUUGCUGGCACCUAAUUAACCAAAAUAAAAAAAAUCACCUAAGCUAUAAUUUCAUAUGUUUAUAAGAUUUUAAACUGGAAAUAGUCUGUCGAAUCCAUAUUUAAGUGUGCUUUAAGCUUAUGUUCCCAUCAAAUUAAAGUGGUUGAGUCUAAGGAGGAAAAUUCCAUUUUAGA